rnacentral:rRNA from 1 species
CAGGCCUAACACAUGCAAGUCGAACGAGAAGCUUCUUCGGAAGUGGACAGUGGCAGACGGGUGAGUAACGCGUGGGGAUCUGCCCAGAGGUUCGGGACAACCAUUGGAAACGAUGGCUAAUACCGGAUAAGCCCGUAAGGGGAAAGAUUUAUCGCCUUUGGAUGAACCCGCGUAAGAUUAGCUUGUUGGUGAGGUAAUGGCUCACCAAGGCUACGAUCUUUAGCUGGUCUGAGAGGAUGAUCAGCCACAUUGGGACUGAGACACGGCCCAGACUCCUACGGGAGGCAGCAGUGGGGAAUAUUGCACAAUGGGGGAAACCCUGAUGCAGCCAUGCCGCGUGUGUGAAGAAGGCCCUAGGGUUGUAAAGCACUUUCAGCGAGGAGGAAGGGUGUAGUCUUAAUAUGGCUAUGCAUUGACGUUACUCGCAGAAGAAGCCCCGGCUAACUCCGUGCCAGCAGCCGCGGUAAUACGGAGGGGGCGAGCGUUAAUCGGAAUUACUGGGCGUAAAGCGCGCGUAGGCGGUUUGUUAAGCCAGAUGUGAAAGCCCGGGGCUCAACCUCGGAAUAGCAUUUGGAACUGGCAGACUGGAGUUUUGUAGAGGAAGGUGGAAUUUCCAGUGUAGCGGUGAAAUGCGUAGAGAUUGGAAGGA